rnacentral:rRNA from 1 species
UACAGAGGUCUCAAGCGUUGUUCGGAUUCAUUGGGCGUAAAGGGUGCGUAGGCGGCGCGGUAAGUCGGGUGUGAAAUUUCGAGGCUUAACUUCGAAACUGCAUUCGAUACUGCCGUGCUUGAGGACUGGAGAGGAGACUGGAAUUUACGGUGUAGCGGUGAAAUGCGUAGAUAUCGUAAGGAAGACCAGUGGCGAAGGCGGGUCUCUGGACAGUUCCUGACGCUGAGGCACGAAGGCCAGGGGGAGCAAAACGGGG